rnacentral:rRNA from 1 species
AACGAACGCUGGCGGCAGGCUUAACACAUGCAAGUCGAGCGCCCCGCAAGGGGAGCGGCAGACGGGUGAGUAACGCGUGGGAAUCUACCCAUCUCUACGGAAUAACGCAUGGAAACGUGUGCUAAUACUGUAUACGUCCUUCGGGAGAAAGAUUUAUCGGAGAUGGAUGAGCCCGCGUUGGAUUAGCUAGUUGGUAGGGUAAGGGCCUACCAAGGCGACGAUCCAUAGCUGGUCUGAGAGGAUGAUCAGCCACACUGGGACUGAGACACGGCCCAGACUCCUACGGGAGGCAGCAGUGGGGAAUAUUGGACAAUGGGCGCAAGCCUGAUCCAGCCAUGCCGCGUGAGUGAUGAAGGCCCUAGGGUUGUAAAGCUCUUUCACCGGUGAAGAUAAUGACGGUAACCGGAGAAGAAGCCCCGGCUAACUUCGUGCCAGCCGCCGCAGUAAAAC